rnacentral:rRNA from 2 species
UAACCCAAGGUUGACCUCGGAUCAGGUAGGAAGACCCGCUGAACUUAAGCAUAUCAAUAAGCGGAGGAAAAGAAACCAACAGGGAUUGCCCUAGUAACGGCGAGUGAAGCGGCAACAGCUCAAAUUUGAAAUCUGGCUUCGGCCCGAGUUGUAAUUUGCAGAGGAAGCUUUAGGCGCGGCACUUUCUGAGUCCCCUGGAACGGGGCGCCAUAGAGGGUGAGAGCCCCGUAUAGUUAGAUGCCUAGCCUGUGUAAAGCUCCUUCGACGAGUCGAGUAGUUUGGGAAUGCUGCUCAAAAUGGGAGGUAAAUUUCUUCUAAAGCUAAAUACCGGCCAGAGACCGAUAGCGCACAAGUAGAGUGAUCGAAAGAUGAAAAGCACUUUGAAAAGAGGGUUAAAUAGCACGUGAAAUUGUUGAAAGGGAAGCGCUUGUGACCAGACUUGCGCCGGGCAGAUCAUCCGGUGUUCUCACCGGUGCACUCUGCCCGGCUCAGGCCAGCAUCGGUUCUCGCGGGGGGAUAAAGGCCCUGGGAACGUAGCUCCUCCGGGAGUGUUAUAGCCCGGGGCGUAAUGCCCUCGCGGGGACCGAGGUUCGCGCAUCUGCAAGGAUGCUGGCGUAAUGGUCAUCAGCGAC